rnacentral:rRNA from 1 species
AUUGAACGCUGGCGGCAUGCCUUACACAUGCAAGUCGAACGGUAACAGGUUAAGCUGACGAGUGGCGAACGGGUGAGUAAUAUAUCGGAACGUGCCCAGUCGUGGGGGAUAACUGCUCGAAAGAGCAGCUAAUACCGCAUACGACCUGAGGGUGAAAGCGGGGGAUCGCAAGACCUCGCGCGAUUGGAGCGGCCGAUAUCAGAUUAGGUAGUUGGUGGGGUAAAGGCCCACCAAGCCAACGAUCUGUAGCUGGUCUGAGAGGACGACCAGCCACACUGGGACUGAGACACGGCCCAGACUCCUACGGAGGCAGCAGUGGGGAAUUUUGGGACAAUGGGCGCAAGCCUGAUCCAGCCAUGCCGCGUGCGGGAAGAAGGCCUCGGUGUAACGACGUUUGUCUAGGAGAAAGG